UUAAUUGAAACCAAAAAGAGGUAAAUUAUUGUUAAUAAUUAAAUUAAAAUUUAAAUUUUCAAUUAAG
rnacentral:tRNA from 1 species